AGAGGUUUGAUCCUGGCUCAGAUUGAACGCUGGCGGAAUGCUUUACACAUGCAAGUCGAACGGCAGCACGGAGAGCUUGCUCUCUGGUGGCGAGUGGCGAACGGGUGAGUAAUAUAUCGGAACGUGUCCAAUAAUGGGGGAUAACGAGUCGAAAGAUUCGCUAAUACCGCAUACGCCCUACGGGGGAAAGCAGGGGAUCGUAAGACCUUGCGUUAAUGGAGCGGCCGAUAUCUGAUUAGCUUGUUGGUGAGGUAAAGGCUCACCAAGGCGACGAUCAGUAGCUGGUUUGAGAGAACGACCAGCCACACUGGAACUGAGACACGGUCCAGACUCCUACGGGAGGCAGCAGUGGGGAAUUUUGGACAAUGGGGGCAACCCUGAUCCAGCCAUUCCGCGUGAGUGAAGAAGGCCUUCGGGUUGUAAAGCUCUUUCGCAAGGGAAGAAAACUUAUGAUCGAAUAAAUCAUGAGGUUGACGGUACCUUGAUAAGAAGCACCGGCUAACUACGUGCCAGCAGCCGCGGUAAUACGUAGGGUGCGAGCGUUAAUCGGAAUUACUGGGCGUAAAGCGUGCGCAGGCGGUUUUGUAAGUCGGAUGUGAAAUCCCCGGGCUCAACCUGGGAACUGCGUUCGAAACUGCAAGGCUAGAGUGUGUCAGAGGGGGGUAGAAUUCCACGUGUAGCAGUGAAAUGCGUAGAGAUGUGGAGGAAUACCAAUGGCGAAGGCAGCCCCCUGGGAUAACACUGACGCUCAUGCACGAAAGCGUGGGGAGCAAACAGGAUUAGAUACCCUGGUAGUCCACGCCCUAAACGAUGUCAACUAGUUGUUGGUAGAGUAAAAUCUAUGAGUAACGUAGCUAACGCGUGAAGUUGACCGCCUGGGGAGUACGGUCGCAAGAUUAAAA
rnacentral:rRNA from 1 species